CGCGGGGUGGAGCAGCUCGGUAGCUCGUCGGGCUCAUAACCCGAAGGUCGCAGGUUCAAAUCCUGUCCCCGCUA
rnacentral:tRNA from 2 species